GGUUUCUUCUUAUUUCAACCAACAGAAAAUGUCUCUCUAUCUCUAGUAAAUGCGUCAAUAGAAGGACUUCUCAGACUUGUUCUUCCCCCAAUUUCAGGCGAGGCAAAUUCCCAAUCGAGGGGCCCUAAAAAUCAAUUCUCCAGGAGAAGAAGUUAAGAUUUUAGUGAGGCUUGUCUCGCUUGAUAUUUAUGUUUAUUGUUCAGUGGUUAAUUAACGUUACGUUCUGAUUUUCCUUGAUUCAUGCAUAAAAAUAAAUUUCUAUUCGCAGAGUUCGAGGUCAAUUGAAUCUCAGGAUCACUCUCAUGAGAGGUUUGUAUUUGCUCUGGUGAAUGUACAUCAGCAAUUUUUUUAAGUUCAUGUACAAUGUGCUACCAUACGAGGUUCAAGGUCGAUUUCCUCUUAUGCACUAUGAACAUUCGACACCAAUCUAUUUUGGUAGUUGAGAUAAUGACUUGAACCUAUCCUAGUUGUUUGCUUGUCCAUGUGUGUUUACAUAAGCUCAAAUCCUCUUCUGCUUGGUCAUCGUAUCUUCUAAAGUCUCAUAUAGUUUUGAUUCAGUUUUUCUGGUUUGUUUUUUGUUUUUUGUUCUUGUUUAUAUUUUAUAUUUUAUAUUUUUUGUUUUUGUUUUUAAUUUUUGUUUUUUGUUUUUCGUUUUCUUUUUUCAGUUUUUGUUUCUACUUCUGUUUUUUUUUUUAAGUUUUUACUUUCUAUUUUCAAAUUUAUUUUUUCUCUUUGUUUUUUUGUUUUUGGUUUCAGCUUAAGUUUUUCCUUCUGUUUUUUUGUUUUCUAUUUUUAGUUUCUAAUAUUUUUUUUUGGUUUUCUUUUCGUUUUUGGUUUAUGUUUUUAGUUUUUGUCUUUUGUUUUUGUUUCUCUGUUUCAGUUUUUGUUUUCACUUUUCACUUUUUUUUUUUCUUAUUUUCUAUUUUUCAGUUUUUGCUUCUUAUUUUUUGUUUUCAGUUUCUGCUUCUACUUUUUUGUUUUUUAUUUUCAAUUUCUGAUUCUGUUUUUUUGUUUAUGUUUGUAGUUUUUAUUGUUUUUUUGUUUUCAGUUUGUGAUUUUGCUUCUGUUUUUUUGUUUUCUAUUUUUAUUUUUAAUUUUUUUAUUUUAUUUUCAGUGUUUAAAUUUGUUUUUUUUUUGUUAUUUGUUUUUUAUUUUCAGUUUUAGUUUUUGCUUUUUGGUUUCAGCUUCAGUUUUUCCUUCUGUUUUUUUGUUUUCUAUUUUUAGUUUCUAAUAUUUUUUUUGGUUUUCUUUUUGUUUUGGGUUUAUGUUUUUAGUUUUUGUCUUUUGUUUUUGUUUCUAUGUUUCUAUGUUUGAGUUUUUGUUUUCAAUUUUUAAUUUUUGUUUUCAAUUUUCACUUUUUCUUUUUUCUUGUUUUCUAUUUUUCAGUUUUUGCAUUUUGUUUUUGUUUUUCAGUUUCGGCUUCUAUUUUUUUUGUUUUCUAUUUUUAGUUUUUGAUUUUGUUUUUUGUUUUUUGUUUAUGCUUAUAGUUUUCUAUCGUUUUUUUGUUUUCAGUUUCUGUUUUUGCUUCUGUUUUUUUUUUCUUUCUAUUUUUAGUUUUUGUUUUCUAUUUUAAUUUUUAAUUUUUUUUAUUUUCAGUUUCUAAAUGUUUUUUGUUUUUGUUUUUGUUUUUUGUUUUCGUUUCAGUUUUUUUUGCUUUUCAUUUUUGUUUUCUAUUCAAUUUUUGGUUUUAUUUUUUAUUUUUUAUUUUUUAUUUUUGUUUUCAAUUUUUGUUUUUCGUUUUCUUUUUUCAGUUUUUGUUUCUGCUUCAGUUUUUUUAUUUUUAUUUUCAAUUUUAUUUUUUCCCUUUGUUUUCUGUUUCUGUUUUUUGUUUUUAGUUUCAGCUUCAGUUUUUCCUUCUAUAUUUUUUUGUUUUCUAUAUUUAGUUUCUAAUAUUUUUUUGGUUUUUUUUUUUUUUUGGUUUAUGUAUACAUUUUUCAUCAUUUUUUUUGUGUUUAGUUUCUGUUUUUGCUUGUGUUUUUUUCUUCUAAUUUUAGUUUUUGUUUUUUAUUUUUAAUUUAAUUUUAUUUUUCUAUUUUCAUUUCUAUUUUUUUUUUUGUGUGUUUUCAGUUUUAGUUUUUUUUGUUUUUCAUUUUUGUUUUCUAUUCAGUUUCUGGUUUUGUUUUUUAUUUUUUGUUUUCAAUUUUUGUGUUUCAUUUUCUUUUUUUAGUUUCUGUUUCUUAUUUUGUUUUUUUAUGUUUUUAUUUUCUGUUUUUAUUUUUAUUUUUUCUCUUUCUUAUCUGUUUUUGUUUUUUGUUUUUGGUUUCAACUUGAGGUUUUCCUUUUUUUUUUUUGUUUUCUAUUUUUAGCUUCUAAUAUUUUUUGGGUUUUCUUUUUGUUUUUGGGUUUAUGUUUUUAGUUUUUGUCUUUUGUUUUUUUGUUUCUUUGUUUUAGUUUUUGUUUUCAAUUUUCAGAUUUUUGUUUUCAAUUUUCAGUUUUACUUUUUGUUUUUUGUUUUUCCAGUUUCUGCUUCUAUUUCUUUUGUUUUCUAUUUUCAAUGUUUGAUUUUGGUUUUGGUUUUUGGUUUGUGUUUUUAUUUUUGUCUUUUGUUUUUGUUUCGCUGUUUCAGUUUUUGUUUUCAGUUUUCAGUUUUUCAAUUUAUUAUUUAUUUAUUUUUGUUUUUUAUUUUUAUUUUUUUAUUUUCUGUUUGUGUUUUCUUUUCUAUUUUUUGUUUUUUAUAUGUUUUUUGUUUCUUUCUUUUUUUCAAUUUUUUUUUAUGUUUCUAUUUUCAACUUUUUUUUGCUCUUGUUUUCUGUGUUGUUGUGGUGGCGGAUCUAGGUGGUGGUGUUGAGUUGUUGAUAUUUUAUUUUUGAAAAUAAUUUAAAGAUAAGAAUAGAAUCCUUUCAAAAAUUAGGAAAUGACUAUUCUUUGAAAUGGAGAAAUGAUAAUUUCAUUUGGAAUGCUCAUUUCGGUAUGGAGAACCAAACGUUUAAAUGAGCAUUCAUACAUAAUCAUUAUUCAAUUCCAACUCUCAUUCCAACCAACUCCCAUGGGAUUCCUAGUCCUCUAUUUUUGAGGAAUUAACAGUCCCAAUAGACUAUUAGUCCAUAGUUUAAUUUUUGCUCUAGAACAUGGUUAAAUGGACCCCACAUGACUAAUAGUCCAAUCUCACUCUCAAAAUAUGUUAUCAAAUGUAGCCCUAGAGUUUUUGCGCUAGAAUAUGGUUAAAAUAGGCUCCACAUGACUAAUCGUCGAAUCCUAACCUCAAAAUAUGUUAUCAAGCUUGGCUUGAAUGUUAUGUACGGUAUUUUUUUAAUUUUUAUGGCAGUUCAAGAUUGAAUUGUGUCAGUUAUUAGUUACUGUAGAUAAGUACAUUAAUUUGGUCAUGCACGAAAUCAAUGGAAUCGAUGCCAAGACAAGGUGCCGCGCCUUAUUGUUGCUUGUGGUUGAAUGUUAUUUAUAUCAUCCAAUACCAGCUGUUUUGUAGAUAUUAGUGGCAAUUGUUAAACAAUGGUUCUGGUAUCCGGAAAUCAAUCUAGAAUUUUCACUCAAAAAAUGAAAUUCUACAAAUCUUAUCAAAAAAACUAUGUUCUUUAAACUAGUGAAUGUGCUUCCUGACGCACACAUCAGGGAUUACUCAUCAUGGGUUUCGUGAGGGGUCAACCCCACACCACAAAUCUAAAAAGAACUAGUUUAACAUUUAGGUAAAUGGAGGACCUUAAUCUACUCCUCACCUAAUGGGGCUAGCCUAAUAUAUGAGUUCCUUUUGUUGAGAGUUUAAGUUCAUUCACAAAUUUGUCUAUAAAAUAAGACUAAUCACAAACUAAAUAAAACAAGGGAGUUUGAUGAUGAGUAAGGACCGUAUCGUUACUAUAUGAAUAUAACAGGCAUACAAAGGAAUAAAACAAGGGAAUUUUUAUUACAAAUUGUGCUCAUAAGUAAACUAUUGGACAAAUUUAUUUCUUAUGUGGUGUAGACCAUAUUUUUUAUGGGUCAAAAUUGUUGUCUCUAGCAAUGUUCCAUGUUAUUUGUAUGAUACUUGAUAGUAUUUUUCGCAUAUCUUCAAAGGUUCAAACUCUUUUCUAAUGUAUCAAUUGUCUGCUGAAAUUUUGUUUUUAAAAUUAUAAUUAUAUACGAUUGACUAAGUAUUUUGUUUGUACGGUGACAGCGGAUUGAUCUGGACCACCGAAAGGUAUCGCCGCCACUGUUUGAAACCAGAAAUUAAAAAAGAAUACCAUUAGAACUCUGAUUCUUUUUGUGUAAGCAAGCUUAAACCCUUUCUUUAAAGUUUCUAAGCAUUUUUUUAAACAAUUGUAGGGCAGUAUUUCGUUGUUUUUUGAAGUAAUGGAGUAAUGGGAAAUCAUAGUUUGUGUAUUUACUAGUUUCUGGUAGGAGGAAAUGGUGACUGCCCGUAUUCAACAAUAAUUUUGCAAGAUACGCCGACGAUUUUGAUAAUAAGGAUGACUCUCCAUCAUUUGCUGUUCAAAAGUGGCUCUUGUCCACGGAAUCACAAUUGUUGGGGGUCUAUGCCUAAAAGGAGAAUCAAUCGAUCUGUCAUAACACGGUUAUGUUUUUGGACCUGAUGGAAACCUAAAGGCUAAGAUAGUAAAGUAUAUCUCUCAUUCUGAUGUUAAAGUAGACAAAAACGAGACGUUAAAGAGGAAUAAUGAAAAAUGAACUGAGAUUUUGUCGUCGUGCAAUGCAUAUGUUCGAUAUCUACGUUCUUGGGGAUAUCUAUCAAGGAAUCGGGACACCUUUACGCAGGAGAGGAACCCUACCAGUGUCAAUACAGGUUUGCAUCAAAAUUCACGGUAUGUUAUGAUUGUAAGCUUACACUCUGCAUAUGGUGGUACUAUGCUAUUGCGGAAAGCUAAUAGAUAGAAUCACAAGAUUGCAUAGGAAUUAUGAAUUGACUGAAAGUGACAGGUUUUAAAUAAAAUAGAAUCAUAAAAAUUGUAGGAUAAUGGCAUCCCGUUAUAGUAUCCAUGGUGGGAGCAUUGAUAUGUCAGACCGAUGAAAUAGAUCAUCCUAGUGCUUAAAAGAAAUAAGUUUUAUUGGUAAUGUUGGAUGAAAUAGGGAGUUUUGAAGUAAUUUUGUAUCGCCUACAAAAUCAAGAUUUUCAAUUUGUGGGCGAUUGCUGCAACGUCGUCACAAACCUUUUAAAUAUUACUCCCUAAAACUUGUAAUUGUACUGAACUAAAUGAUAGGUCUAACCAAAGAGAUUAAAGUAGGAUUCAAUUCUUCUUUGUUAUAUUCGGCUUUCCAUCAAUCCAUCACUCUACAAAUCUAAUACCUCAGUACGCUUCAAAGACCUGAUCGGUGAAUUGAAAAAGCUCCGGUGAACAUUGAGAGACUUGCAUAAGGACUGAGCUAGGAACAUCACAAUUAAUCAUUCCUGUUUCAGCAUAUAAAUACGGAUGCCCUUUUCAACUGUGUAAUCAAAUCUCUGUAGGAAGUUCUUCAAAUGCAGACGAUUUGAACAUUGUCCAUCUGUUUAAGAAAUGAGACCAAUAUUAGGCUUAGUGUGUUUGUGCUUCUUUAGAGUGUAACUUUUUAAAUUUAACUGUUUUCCUUUACCUGCAUAAUUUCAGGUGAGAAAUGAUGGAUUGUGGACGUGUACCCAAAAAUUAUGUUCUGAAUGGUGUCAGAUGUGGGUCGCAUUGGAAAUAGGAAAUUGUCAUGAUAUACGUGUUGAGUCCAGCACAUCGGAUGAGGUCCAAGCCCACUUGGAUGAGUACAAGAUCCAGAGUAGCCAAGCCCAAGCCCGAUUGGAGUUUUUUAUCCAUGUGACGGUUGAAAACUCUCGCGUAUAGAACUCUUUGAGGGGUGUUAGCUUUGUGUUUUCCUAGUUAGAUUAGGAUAAUGAUUAGGUAUUAUGUUAGGAGUCAACCACCUCCUUCCCUUGGUCUAUAAAAGGGAUGGUAGGGUGCUAGAUUUUAAGUGCGUUGUGUUGUGGGCUGAGAAGCAGAAUGCUGGAGGUGAGAUUGAGAGGCAAACAGAGAGAGAUUGUGAGAGAGGGUGUGAGUUGGAGCGAUCGAAUCCCUCGUUGUAAUCAAUCGUUGAUUUUGAUAGGUGAUUGUUGAUUUCUCUCCGUGGAGAGGCAUCGUUGACGAACCAUGUAAAUCUUUAUUGUCUUUUGUGUGUGUGUGAUUGGUUAAUUAGUUUUGAGUGACAACAAUUGGUAAUCAGAGUUUAGGUGGAGGCGAUUCGGAGCCCAGGUCGAAGUUGGGGUGUCCGGAAAAGUGCUUCAAAAUAUUUUUAAUUACACCAGGUUGUUCGUCCGCUCGAACGAAGAGCCAGCACCAAAAACCGCGUCGGGAAACGGAUGUCCGGACUGCCCUUCACGUGUGCCUGAAUACGGCGAGUGAGAUGAAGUCGCAGCCACGCGCCCAGGAGGUCCCACGCGCAUGCCAGCGCCACGGUGGGAGGGACCCAGUGCCAGCACUUGUUCACCGCAGAGGAGCUGCACGGCAGCCACGCGCCCGCCCGCGCGGCCACGGAUCCAGGGAGUUGAUGCCUCACACGCGGAACGCACCACACGCGCACGCGCUUGCACUAGCGGAAAGGGAUUUCACCGCCAGGGAGGCGCCAGGUUAGGCUGCCAGCGGUGCGCCACGUCAGCUGCGGACUCGGCUGCGUUAGCGUUGGACUUUGAUCCGUGAAUUUGACGGGUUGGUUAAAUACACUUUCUAGUCCCUGGGAUUUUGGGUAAUUACAGUUUAGUCCCUGAAGUCGGUGAUUUUUAAUUUGGGCCAAGGAACUUCUGAUUUUGUCAAUUUGGCCUCAGAAACGUUUAAUUUUGUCGAUUUGGCCCUAGAAACUUUCUGAUUUUUUGGGACAGUUUGUCCCAGAAGUUUUUGAUUUUGACAGUUCCAGCCUUCCUGCGAUUCUCGGCUCCGGAUUCAUCUGCGGGGUCGGUUUUCCGAGAGUUUGCUUCAUUGGGGAGAAGUAAGAUGGCCAGGAGCAUCAUUUGGGUUCGAUGAUGUACUUUAGGCGACGAAUUAUGCCAUAUGAAAACCUCAGGAUGGGGGACAUCUAUUUGGCAUGGAUUUGCAAACCUUUGGAGAAUAAAGGAGAAAACCUUUAGCGAUGAAGGAUGAGGAAUGGAGAAAGAGAAUAGGAAGACGUGGGUACUCAGACAGUAUAUUGGAACGGAGUGUUUCACUCAUGUCAGACAGGAGACGAGUGCUUCUGAGUUGUGGAUCAAGUUGGAGGAGAUGUACCAAGCGAAGACAUCUCGGAACAAAGCCUUAUUGAUGAGGAAGCUUGUGAAUUUGAAGGUUCAGAGGAGAUUAAAGUGCGCAGAAACAUACGGUGAGUUCCAAAAUUUGUCAAUCAGUGACCAGUGUUGACCUACGUUGACGACGAGAUGCAGGCCUAUUGUUUAUGGUUCUUGACAGAGAGUGGGAACAUGGUGGUUUCUAUCAAGCAAUUCAGCGCCGAAUGGGAAGUUGACUACGGUAUAGUCAUGGAUGACCCCACCCCAUGUUCAAUGAAGAGGGUGGAGGACGAGAGAUGAGUUCGACAGAUCAGAGUGAGUCCAGACUAGUCUUAGAUGGGAAGCAGGGACAGAGGCUGAGGUAAGAAGGAGGUCAUCAUAGGGUAUUGGAAAAGGACGGUGGAGGUCACAGGAUAGGAUGUCGCAAGUUAGGUGCUUUUAUUUGACCAGGAGGGCUAUCGGAGGGGAUUGUGCAAAGUUGAAAGCACAGGAUGAGUCUUCAGAUACAGCAGCGAAAACAGUGAUGAUGAGGAUGAGGAUUGAGUUGAUGUUCUCAUAGCAGUAUCGGAAGAUGGAAAGUCAGAUGGGUAUUGUCGAUUAGGCAGUGCUACAAUGGCAGAGAUAAAGAGGUGUUCUUACAUAUGCACAGCGAGGGGACGUAUAUGGAUGGCGAACAACACGUCUAGCAGAGUUGUUGGCAGAGGGUCAAUCGGUUCAGCUGGCAGAGGGAGGUCUGUGACGUUGACUAGGGAAAGGAAUGGUCCUAAUCUACGGAAAAAAUUGACUUUCUAUUGGGAGGCUAGAUCAAAAGGAGGGAUGCAGCUUGAUGCUCGUGGAGGAAUCUUAGAGUUUCAAAUGGAAACAAGAGAUGCUGUGGGGAAAGAGACUAGAGGGCUAUACCGAUGGAGGGGAGUGUCCAGGCAGGGGAGCAUUGUCGACAGGGGCCAGUGGAUAUUAGGCAAGGAGAAUGGACAAGGGAAGCAAACUUUACAAGAGGUACGCAAAGCAAGCGCAGGGGUACCUAGAGAUCCGAGUGGUAAAGAGCGAGGGAGAUGCUUUGGGAUAUGUAGAAAGUCUGGCCAGACAGAGUAGCUGCAAACCAUGCAGUGAUGUCCAUAGAGAGCUCAGGAGGAAAGGAGGACCAAGUCAAUUUUGAGAAGCUUGUACAGCGAAGGGUGCGGUGAAGCCGAGGAGUCUCUUUUGCUCUCGAUUGGAUCAGUGGCGGUGAUCUCUCCAGUUGUGUGCACAAGGGAGGAGAGUGGAAGCACGACAAAUAAACAAAGUGAUGUACUUGCGCGCAACCCUGGGGUGGGGAGUGUGGUGCACCAUAGUGGGGGGUGCAGGGCACCUCGGUGAGAAGAUGCAGGCACUCGGUGAGGUGCAGCACUUCGUGGGAAGUGGAGUAGCCCGUUGAUGAGGCUAAGUAUUUCUCGGAUGCUGUCUUCAGUUUUAGGGGGAGCUGUAGCAGAAUUAGUCAGGAAGGACAACUUGAAGAGUCAGAUUACCCUCCAGUGGGCUGGAGGGGGAGAUUGUUGAGUCCAGCCCAUCUGGAUGAGUCCAAGCCCACUUGGAUGAGUCAAGUCCAGUAGCAAGCCCAGCCCGAUUGGGUUCAUAUGGAGUGUCCAUAUGACGGUGAAACUCUUUGAGAGUGUUUAUCUUUUUGUUUUGCCUAGUUUAGAUUAGGAUAAGAUUAGGUAUGCUUGUUAGGAGUCCAACCACUUCCUUCCCUUGGUCUAUAAAAGGGAUGUAGGAUGCUUAGAUUUUCUACUGCGUUGUGUUUGUGGGCUUAGAACAGAUUCUGUGAGGUGAGAUUUUAGAGGCAGACAGAGAGAGAUGUGAGAGAGGUUUGAGUUAAAGAGCGAUCGAGUCUCCUCGUUGUAAUCAUUCGUUUGAUAGUUGAUUGUUGAUUUCUCUCCGUGACGUAGGCAUCGUUGGCCGAACCACGUAAAUCUUUAUUGUCUUUUGUUGUGUAAUUGGUAUUAGUUUUGAUACAACAAUACGCUUCCCCGAACUUGUAAUGCUAAAUCGAGCAAGAGGUAUCAUUUUCUGCGUUGUACCCGGCUAUCGAGGAAUUCUUCAUAUGGUUUUCCGAGUAUAUUAACCAUAUUUACUAUAUAUUUUUAAUUCCAGGUGCACAUUUAAUCUGCUUUCUCGGGGCAUUUAACAUGAGUACGGGGGAAGCGUUGUGGGAGCUGGAGCAAAGAGCAAGCCAAGUACAUUCAUCUAACCUUUGGGAAAAAUAUUAAUGAAGCUAAAUUUGCUGAAACUUGACCUCAUAUAAAACUCCUCAGCCAGUUGAUUAUCAAAUAACACAAUUCAUUAAUACUCCCAGGUCCACAUGAUUAUAAUUAUCCCAUAAGCAACUUUUAACUGAUUCACUUACUGAAGGCUAGUCUUAGACUUUCCGAAGGUAAAGAUGGAGGAAAAUACCGUAUGAGCAUUUUCUAUGUCAAUGGCUAUAAAUGAAUCAUAAAGUUUCUUUCUUUUUGUAUUUUUUAAUUUUUUGGGCAUUUGUAUGAACAUGAGAUAGCAAGCCUCUAGCACAUCCCAAAUGAAAUCUAAAAUGCCUAUAAGAUAAAAAAAAAAUAACAAUAGAUAUAUGGAGUUGCAUUAAUUACGAUUGUAAACUAUAACUGAGUAAAGCAUGGCAAUGUCGUAGUUUAAAUCAUGUCAAAUAUAGGAACUGAGCAAAUCUUCAAUCGACUUGGCGGAAUCUUCAAUAAUUUAUGUCAAUCACAAGUAUCAUGGCAGCAAUAUUAAGGGCUCGUAGAUGUUCUUCGCCUUAUUAUCAUUGGUACCUUAUGUUAUCUGUCAAUUCUUUAUGUACUAAUUCAGUUUUUUACUUCCAAAAUACAGGGCAGUGUAAUCAGGUACUAAAGUGCUCUUGUUUCUGUAAAUUUCAUUGCCCCCCCGGAAAGCAUCAUUCUGUUGAUUGUUGCAUUGUGUCGUAGUUUAUGUAGCUACUUGCUCGCCAUCUCGAGAUUCACUAGUAGCUACAUUGAUAGGGGUACAAUCCGUUGUUGUUGGACCGGUAUUUUUAAAACCUCGAGCUAAUUGUGCUACUAAAGUUUUUAAUUACCAUCACGUAAAUACAAAGUUGCAUUUAACAUUUAUGCCUUUUUUCCCGAGCGUUGGUGAAAUAAUGCAACCUCGAGGCACGAGAGACGAUUAGUGAUUGCUGAGAUUGAUUUAUUCUACAAUUACACAGCAAAGGUGGGUUAGAUAUCUGUUAACUCAAAAGACGAUCGUAGAAGAAAGAAACUUCCACAUUUUUUCUCAUUGAAGUUUAAUUUAGUAAUUUCAGGAAGAUACUGCCACUGGAGAGACCAAAGGCGGGGAGAUCUGUACCGGUUAUUUGGACCCAUGCAUGAACAAAAUCCUUGAAAGUGAGAAUUUUGACACAAUACUCUUUUUUCUUACUGUAUUGGAACUAAACUCACAUACUUCUCAUCUCAUUAUCUGUCCAUUCAUAAGGGGGGGGAAACUAGAGAAGAACAUUUAUCACUUUCAAACUUGAGGUUUUUGUCCAAAUUUGAAGUUUCGUUUUUCUGUCAAACGGUUGAAAGAAAUCAUAACACUUCCCACUCAUGGUUCUCACUUGAAAAAACUGUUUCUCUGUUUGUAUAUUGAAUUUGUGAAAGGGAGACCAGUAAACUCCGUUAUAUGAAUGUAAUUAUUAAAUUUAAAAAUUCAAUAACCUUCACAUUUGUAGGGUAAGACUCAGUUUAGACUAAUUUUUAGAGGUUUUUAACUUGCUUUUGUUUUCAAUUUUUUUCAUCUUAGUGAUUUUUUUUACCGAUUAAUUAAAUAUUUAUACUUUUUUGAUUUGUAUAAAUAAAAUUUCACCAAAUAAAAAAAUGUUAGUUAAUUUAUAAAGUAUAUUUUUAUUUUUAAUGAACUUAGGUGAAAAUUUAUACGUUUUUCAACUUUUUUUCGUUGAGAAAAAUCGAAAAUAUAUAAUUUUUUCAUCGAAUAAUUAAAAAGUUUUAUUAAAAAAAUAAAAAUCAAAAUUGAUAAAAAAAAUCUCAAAAAAAUUUGGCCAAGGUGGCUUUGGUAGGGCUCACUUUAAUAUUUUUUUUACCGUUAGAUCAAAAUUUUAUGUUUUUUCAAUUCCUAUAAAUAAAAAUUUACUAAAGAAAAAACGUUAGUUAAUUUAUUAAGUAAAAAUAAUUUUUUAUUUUUAUUAAAUUUUAGGUGAAAAUUAUUACAUUUUUCAACUCGUUUUGGGGAGAAGAACCAAAAAAAUGUAAUUUUUUUAUCGAACAAUCAAAAUGUCCACCAAAAACAAAAAUAAAAAUAAAAACACAUUUUUUUUGGCCAAGAUGCCCUUAGUAGGCACGCUUGCUGACAAAUCAAACACUGGCCCCACCACCCAAUCUCUAAUUAUUUUUUUAUUUUUAGAGAUGAAUAUAUUAAGACAAACCUAAUCGAUAUUUAAAACAAUCUUAUCUCUAUGUUUCUAUGCAAGUGUGAUUGUAUUUAUAUAUCUAUUUGAGAGUGAAGAUCGUAGUGUUAUUCAGGAUGGAGCUAAAAUUUAAAUUUAGUGGAGUUAAAAUUAUCAGAACUUAUAUUUAGUGGGGUUAAAAUUAUAGAAUUUAUAGAAUAUAAAACAAAUUACUAAAAACCACGCUUAUUGGUGUUCACAAAGACCAAAUCCACGCUUAUUUCGCAGCCACUAUCCGAGUUCUUUCUAGCCUAAUGAAUUUGCAGGUUUGUCUCCUCCUCUCUCCUCUCUUUCUCCUCUCUCUUCAUAGUUUGCUUAGUUCUUGCUCUCCUAGUGUAAUAAGAUAAAAGUGUGCUACGUGCGGAUCUACCCUUUCAUAGAAUCUGCAAAAGACAAGCGUGAAGACCAAGCCCAAAUUGGAAAGAAUAAGUCUUGGUAUACUUCAUAAAUUAUUGAUUAAAUUACUCUAUAUUUACAUGAGUUGUGGGCCCAUUACCCAAGAGUAAUAGUGUGUAGCCCACACACUGUGGUACGAAAGUAAUUUAUUCGGUUAAUUAUGACGGGGGUUGUGUGUUUUUUUUGUAAGAAUAACUCUAUUGAAAAUUGUAUUUCUCUUCUACUUUAACAGAAUACCGAUAAAAGUUCUUACUAAUGUACAAAAGAGCAACUAAAUUCGGAUCCAAAUGUUCCAAUUAUUGCACAAAGGUAGAACAGGAAAGUUUUAACAUAAAACCCCACACCUCUAUCCAUUUCCAGCUCAAAGCAUCAUUUACAUUAUAUCAUUAUCAUCCAUUGAAAUUCUAUUAAACUUAUUAGCAGAUUGUCAUAAACAGAAUCCUCCAAAACAUAUAAGCUUUUUCCACAACUCAAAUUUCAAUUAUGAAACACAUUGCAGAUUUC
rnacentral:lncRNA from 1 species